AGUGAACGCUGGCGGUAGGCCUAACACAUGCAAGUCGAACGGCAGCACAGUAAGAGCUUGCUCUUACGGGUGGAGAGUGGCGGACGGGUGAGGAAUACAUCGGAAUCUACUUUUUCGUGGGGGAUAACGUAGGGAAACUUACGCUAAUACCGCAUACGACCUACGGGUGAAAGCAGGGGAUCUUCGGACCUUGCGCGAUUGAAUGAGCUGAUGUCGGAUUAGCUAGUUGGCGGGGUAAAGGCCCACCAAGGCGACGAUCCGUAGCUGGUCUGAGAGGAUGAUCAGCCACACUGUAACUGAGACACGGUCCAGACUCCUACGGGAGGCAGCAGUGGGGAAUAUUGGACAAUGGGCGCAAGCCUGAUCCAGCCAUACCGCGUGGGUGAAGAAGGCCUUCGGGUUGUAAAGCCCUUUUGUUGGGAAAGAAAAGCAGCAGGUUAAUACCCCGCUGUUCUGACGGUACCCAAAGAAUAAGCACCGGCUAACUUCGUG
rnacentral:rRNA from 1 species